rfam:Camelus ferus unplaced genomic scaffold scaffold60782, whole genome shotgun sequence.
GAGGGUAUAGCUCAAGCGCUAGAGCGUAUGCUUAGCUUGCACAAGGUCCUGGGUUCAAUCCCCAGUACCUCCU